UACGGGAGGCAGCAGUGGGGAAUAUUGCACAAUGGGCGCAAGCCUGAUGCAGCCAUGCCGCGUGUAUGAAGAAGGCCUUCGGGUUGUAAAGUACUUUCAGUCGUGAGGAAGGUGUUAAGGUUAAUAACCUUGGCAAUUGACGUUAGCGACAGAAGAAGCACCGGCUAACUCCGUGCCAGCAGCCGCGGUAAUACGGAGGGUGCGAGCGUUAAUCGGAAUUACUGGGCGUAAAGGGCACGCAGGCGGUUAAUUAAGUUGGAUGUGAAAUCCCCGGGCUUAACCUGGGAAUGGCAUUCAAGACUGGUUAGCUAGAGUCUUGUAGAGGGGGUAGAAUUCCAUGUGUAGCGGUGAAAUGCGUAGAGAUGUGGAGGAAUACCGGUGGCGAAGGCGGCCCCUGGGACAAAGACUGACGCUCAUGUGCGAAAGCGUGGGGAGCGAAACAGGGAUUAGAUACC
rnacentral:rRNA from 1 species